rnacentral:rRNA from 1 species
UACGUAGGGUGCAAGCGUUGUCCGGAAUUAUUGGGCGUAAAGAGCUUGUAGGCGGUUUGUCGCGUCUGCUGUGAAAUUUCGGGGCUCAACCCCGAACUUGCAGUGGGUACGGGCAGACUAGAGUGUGGUAGGGGAGACUGGAAUUCCUGGUGUAGCGGUGAAUGCGCAGAUAUCAGGAGGAACACCGAUGGCGAAGGCAGGUCUCUGGGCCAUAACUGACGCUGAGAAGCGAAAGCAUGGGGAGCGAACAGG